GAGCUACAUGAAAGGAGAGUUUAGCAUUCAUCUUGAUAAGGAUAGAAGAGGUUCUAGCAGCCUUUACAAUACAUAUGUGAUGAAGAUAUUGCCGUCUACUCUGUGACAUCUAACCAAAGACAUAA
rnacentral:ncRNA from 1 species